UUACGCUGUUAUCCCUAAGGUAAUUUAAUCUUAUAAUCAAAAUCAAUGGAUCAAAUAAAUAUAAAUCAAUAUAACCACUAAACCAAGAGGAGUUAAAUUAUAUUCCUCUCAUCACCCCAACAAAACACAAGACCCACUUAUUAAAAAUAAAACAAACUACAAAUAAACAAGCAAAUCAACAUGUCAAACUCUAUAGGGUCUUCUCGUCCCAUAAAAACAUCUAAGAAUUUUAACUCAAAAACCAAAUUCAAUAAAACAUUCAAAUUUAAGACAGCUCGCAUCUCGUCAAGCCAUUCAUUCCAGAUCACAAUUAAAGAACUAAUGAUUAUGCUACCUUUGCACGGUCAAAAUACCGCGGCCCUUCAACAAUAAGUCAGCGGGCAGGCCAUACUUCAAAAACUAACAAGAAAAGAUGUUUUUGAUAAACAGGCG
rnacentral:rRNA from 1 species